GUUGAGACAUAUCCAGACAUGAUUUCAAGACGUGAAGCUAAAGAAUAUACAUCGCCCCAUAAUCAUUUUGAUAGAUUAUUAACGUUUACUAAUACCUAAAGUUGCAUUACAAAAGUAUUUCGAAGUGUUUUGUGAAAGUUUAUCAUCGACUUUUUUAAUUUUUUUAAAUGACAUUGCGUUAUCAAACUCAGUUUUUUCCUUGAUUACACAGUCUUCAUAGAUCGAUAUCUAGGCUAUAUAUGGACCGAUUUAAUCGAAAAAAGACCCAAAUAAAUGUUUAUGGGACAUCUAGGAGUGCCAAGAAAGAAGCUUGUCAAAGAGCUGCCCAGACAACAUGGCAGAGUUGGUAUAGUGACGGGAGGCAUCAGUGGAAUCUGCUUUGAGACCGCAAGACACAUGGCCAGCCUGGGGGCACACUUUAUCAUAGCUGGACAGCAGGAGCGGGAGGGUGUGUCUGCUGUGAAGAGGAUUCGUGAGGAGAACAGAGAGGCCAAAGGUCACAGUCCCCACAACCCUGUUUGGUUUUGUGUCUCCUUGGCUCUGGAUAUUACUGAUUGGCUGGAGAGUGAACACACCUUUUCAAAGCCACAGUUCUGUAAACAGCUGAGGGAUGAGUGUAACGGCUGUUGGAAGGAGUGGAGGACCAAGGUGCAGCGUG
ensembl:lncRNA